rnacentral:rRNA from 1 species
UACGUAGGUGGCAAGCGUUAUCCGGAUUUAUUGGGCGUAAAGGGAACGCAGGCGGUCUUUUAAGUCUGAUGUGAAAGUCUUCGGCUUAACCGGAGUAGUGCAUUGGAAACUGGGAGACUUGAGUGCAGAAGAGGAGAGUGGAACUCCAUGUGUAGCGGUGAAAUGCGUAGAUAUAUGGAAGAACACCAGUGGCGAAAGCGGCUCUCUGGUCUGUAACUGACGCUGAGGUUCGAAAGCGUGGGUAGCAAACAGG